rnacentral:rRNA from 1 species
UGAGUGCUAGCAUUUAUGUUAGCUGUCCAUAUGUGUAAAUAACAUGUGAUAGCAAGGGCUGGGCAAGACCGGUGCCAGCCGCCGCGGUAAUACCGGCAGCCCGAGUGGUGAUCGCUAUUAUUGGGUCUAAAGGGUCCGUAGCCGGUUUGAUCAGUCUUCUGGGAAAUCUACUUGCUUAACAAUUAGGCUUCCAGGAGAUACUAUCAAACUUGGGACCGGGAGAGGUAAGAGGUACUGCAGGGGUAGGGAUGAAAUCUUGUAAUCCCUGUGAGACCACCAGUGGCGAAGGCGUCUUACUAGAACGGGUCCGACGGUAAGGGACGAAAGCUGGGGGCACGAACCGGAUUAGAUACCCGGGUAGUCCCAGCUGUAAACGAUGCUCGUUAGGUGUCAGAAACGGUGCGACUGUUUCUGGUGCCGAAGGGAAGCCGUGAAACGAGCCACCUGGGAAGUACGGUCGCAAGGCUGAAACUUAAAGGAAUUGGCGGGGGAGCACUACAACGGGUGGAGCCUGCGGUUUAAUUGGAUUCAACGCCGGA